CUAUGUCUCCCAUGGAUGUCACUCAUGACUUAGGCAUCCAAGUCAACAUGGAGGGCUUUGAGAGAAUGAAGCAUGACACAUGGAAUUGCAGCAACCUUCUAUCUGUGGUCAAGCUCAUGAGGAAAUCUUCUGAGUCAGCUUCAUGUAAGAUCCGGG